UCAUGCCAUUAUUAAUUGGAAUUUCUUCGAACGGAACAUGAUUUUAAUCACAUGAUUGUCUGAAUUUUAAUAACUUUUUUUUGUCUGAAUUUUAAUCACUUUUUUUUUCUAUUUGAUUCAAUCUCUUUAUUUUGUUUCUUUGUUCUUGUCAAUAUAAUGUAUCAAUGCCUCUGUUAUUGGGAUUUCUCUGUUUUGCCAAAAAUCUAUAGUAUGGUGAACUUUUUGGUUUCAUGGAUGCUUACCCUUUUUCAUAUUUUAAUAAGUAUUUAUGUGCUUAGAAGAGCAAUUGACUCUGGUUGCAAAUUCGGAUUGUUGGUGGAAGGAAUGCAAAUUGGGACUGGUUUUCUAGUUGUUGGUGGACUAGCCUAGCUUACUGAAUUGAUUAAUUCAUUAAUAGAAGGGAGUGGUGUCAUAAUCUGCAUUGACUCUGAAACAAGAAGUGAUGUCUCGGUUCCUUCAGUUUCUUGUAUGGUUGGCGAACUAAGAUGAAAAUGACUCUCUUUAGAAGGCCAUUUUAUUGUUCCGUACUAGAGAUUUCUGUGACUUAUUUUGGGUUCAUGGCUUGAUGUUUUGAACUCAUGAGAAAAAAAAAUUAUAGGAGGUUUGCUUCUAAAUAUCCUUCUUUUGUUCCAUGAUUUUAAAAUGUUACGAUAAAUUUUUCAAGUGGUACAAGGCUUUUAAAAUGUUAUGAUAAAUGUUAUGAUAAACUCCCAUCCUUUUCGAUUAUUGUUAUUGUUAGUCCUACAACACAAAAUUUCAAUGCUGCAGUUAUCAUAAAAGGCUUUUUCUGUUUUGAAUAAAUGAUUGGAAAAGUAGAGCUUUUAUGUAAGUACUAAUUUUUUAUUAGGCAUAAUCUAUCAUAGUGCAUAUAAAUGUUUGCUUGACAUGUCUUAGUUUGUGAAGUUUUCAUUAGAAGUGUGAAUAUCUCUUAUACAAGUCUUUUUUUUUUCACUAAAAUGCUUCCUAACUUAUGUUUCUCUAUUAAAAUUUUUUAUGCCUGUUAAUGAAGAGUAAUUUCUCUGAUAUAUUUGUCAUCUGUUUCUUUACAGAUUUUGCAAUAGGCACAGAUGAUAUGUACAGAACUGCAGAAGCAAUCAAACUUGCUGGAGCAAAGAUAAAGAAUGCAAAUUCCUUUGAUAGUUCACAUUCAUAUAAAAUUUUAUCAGCC
rnacentral:lncRNA from 1 species